rnacentral:rRNA from 1 species
AUGCAGCGAUGCCGCGUGAGUGAAGAAGGCCUUUGGGUUGUAAAGCUCUUUCGUCGGGGAAGAAAAUGACUGUACCCGAAUAAGAAGGUCCGGCUAACUUCGUGCCAGCAGCCGCGGUAAUACGAAGGGACCUAGCGUAGUUCGGAAUUACUGGGCUUAAAGAGCUCGUAGGUGGUUAAGAAAGUUGGUGGUGAAAUCCCAAGGCUUAACCUUGGAACUGCCACCGAAACUUUUUGACUAGAGUAUGAUAGAGGUAAGUGGAAUUUCUAGUGUAGAGGUGAAAUUCGUAGAUAUUAGAAAGAACACCGAUUGCGAAGGCAACUUUCUGGAUCAUUACUGACACUGAGGAGCGAAAGCAUGGGUAGCGAAGAGGAUUAGAUACCCUCGUAGUCCAUGCUGUAAACGAUGUGUGCUAGAUGUUGGGAAUUUAAUUUUCAGUGUCGCAGCAAAAGCAUUAAGCACACCGCCUGGGGAGUACGACCGCAAGGUUAAAACUCAAAUGAAUUGACGGGGACCCGCACAAGCAGUGGAGCAUGUGGUUUAAUUCGAAGAUACGCGCAGAACCUUACCAACACUUGACAUGUUCGUCGCGACUCUAAGAGAUUAGAGUCAUCGGUUCGGCCGGACGAAACACAGGUGCUGCAUGGCUGUCGUCAGCUCGUGUCGUGAGAUGUUGGGUUAAGUCCCGCAACGAGCGCAACCCUUACUUUUAGUUGCUACCAUUUAGUUGGGCACUCUAAAAGAACUGCCAGUGAUAAGCUGGAGGAAGGUGGGGAUGACGUCAA